AAGCCCCGGUAAACGGCGGCCGUAACAUAACGGUCCUAAGGUAGCGAAAUUCCUUGUCGGGUAAGUUCCGACCUGCACGAAUGGCAUAACGACUUCCCCACUGUCUCGGAGAGGCCUCAGCGAAGUAGCACUAGGGGUGAAGAUACCCUUUACCCGCGGCAGGACGGAAAGACCCCGUGAACCUUUACUGUAACUUGGCACUGAUUUCGGGUUAGCUUGCGUAGGAUAGGUGGGAGGCUAUGAAGCCGGGAUUCCGGUCUCGGCAGAGCCAACCUUGAAAUACCACCCUGGCUAACCUAAAAAUCUAACUCGCUUCCGUAAUCCGGAAGGAGGACAAUGCCUGGUGGGCAGUUUGACUGGGGCGGUCGCCUCCCAAAAAAGUAACGGAGGCGCGCGAAGGUUCCCUCAGCCUGAUUGGAAACCAGGCGC
rnacentral:rRNA from 1 species